CCUACGGGAGGCAGCAGUGGGGAAUAUUGCACAAUGGGGGAAACCCUGAUGCAGCGACGCCGCGUGAGCGAUGAAGUAUUUCGGUAUGUAAAGCUCUAUCAGCAGGGAAGAAAAUGACGGUACCUGACUAAGAAGCCCCGGCUUACUACGUGCCAGCAGCCGUGGGAAUACGUAGGGGGCAAGCGUUAUCCGGAUUUACUGGGUGUAAUGGGAGCGUAGACGGUCCUGCAAGUCAGAUGUGAAAGCCCGGGGCUCAACCCCGGGCCUGCAUUUGGAACUGUAAGGCUAGAGUGUCGGAGAGGCAGGCGGAAUUCCUAGUGUAGCGGUGAAAUGCGUAGAUAUUAGGAGGAACACCAGUGGCGAAGGCGGCCUGCUGGACGAUGACUGACGUUGAGGCUCGAAAGCGUGGGGAGCAAACAGGAUUAGAUACCCCAGUAGUC
rnacentral:rRNA from 1 species